UCCUAAUUAGGACCUAUUUCGCCAAGUGAAAGCAUGCCCAGGAAGAAAGAAAAAAAGAUCCUACAGUGAAUGCAAUGUGCCCGGACAAGUCCCAACUGACUCCUCUCGCUUCUAAUAACACCGACGUGCGGGAAGUAACAAAAAGAAGUUUGGGGAGAGUGAUUUUGGGUCUGAGGGGCAACAUGGAUCAGGGGUAUGCUAUCUGCCAUCUAUAAGGGUCUGCAUCAGAGAACAACUGCACAGCAUCAACCCCGCUGCUCUUCCUCCUGGGACUGUAAGAGACCUUCCCUGACCUUGGCUCCAUCUCCCACUGAGCCCCACUCACUCUCAGAACUCGACUCAGUACAGUUGCCCAGGCUGCCAAUACUGAUCAACUGGCUGGCCCACAAGAGAAGACCUGGAGUCAUCCUCUUCUAGUUGGCAGUACAUGUAAGCGUGCCUCAGUACAUGUAAUGCGUGCAUGCAACAUGGGUGAGGAUGCCGUGGCACAUGGGUGAGGAUGCCAUGGCACAUGGGAGCACAGUACUGUGAACACUAAUCCUUGACUGUUUGUGGGGAAGGUCUUACAGAAGAGCUAAUCUUUCAAGGAGUCAUGAAAGAUGGACUAGAGUUUGCCAGAGUAGCAGAGGCUUCCAGCUCUCCUUGUAAUAUCAACUCUCCUCUUCCUCAGCUGCAAUGGAACCUUCGAUUAGAACAACAUCCGUGGCCAUGGCCAGUAAAUUCUGGCUAAUAGAAAGAGAGCAGAAGUGAUGUAUAUAGUGCCAUGGUUGUGGACUUGGAGAGAAAGAGCAUGCCCUUCUGCCCUUGGUUGGAAUGCAGAGGAGAAGGUGGUAACCACUUGGGACCAUGCAGAUGAAAGCAGCUCACGAGGAUGGCAGGCAACAAGUUGCGGGGCCUGGGCUCCUGCCCCUGGGGUGCUGCUCACCUAGCCCUAGACUGCUCCCAGUGUCUGGAUUGUUACUGGAGAGAGAAACAAAUUUCUAUCUUGUUAUAGACACUAAGGUUUGGGGUCUCUGUGAUAGCACUGAGACACAUGGGUGAAGUAAGGUGGUAGACAGACACAUUUGGAGGUGGAGUUAGGAUAGGUGGCCAUUCCAAGAAAAGGCAAAAGGAAGAACAUAGUUUGAGUCCUCUAUGCUGGGCCCUGUGCUAGGUCAUUUAUAUGGAUCAACUCAUUUCAACUCUCACAGUCAGCUUAUGACUGAUUCCAUUCACUUUAUGGGUGAGAAAACAUAUUCAAAUGGGGCAGGUAACUUGGCCAAGGUCGUGCCACAGUGAGUGUGAGACAGGGCUGGGAAUCUAACUCCACGUCCGUGAUCUUUUCGUCCUGCCACAUCAUGCAGAAACAAAUGGCCAUGAAAGAGCAUUUGCAGAACAAUAAGGAAUUUGCCAUGGAUGGAAGUGAGCAGACACCUAGAACAGUUCUCCAUUAAGCACAGAGAUGACUUGAACCUUCCAGAAAGCCAGACUCUUGAACUAAUCUGGAUCUGUUUCCGACCUCUGGAGAAAUGAUCUCCAGCUCAACAUUAUGUCACUUGAUAUAAAUAGAAAAGGAUGAAGAAAGU